rnacentral:siRNA from 1 species
GCACAAGCCCGAUGUAUUGCC